rnacentral:rRNA from 1 species
GGAUUCCCCUAGUAACUGUAAGCUGAAGCGGUGAAGAGCUACGACUAUAUUAAAAUCUGGCGUGCCUCUGGUCGUCCGAGUUGUAGUCUGGAGAAGCGUUUUCCGCGUUGGACCGUGUACAAGUCCCUUGGAAUAGGGCGUCGUAGAGGGUGAGAAUCCCGUCUUUGACACGGACUGCCAGUGCUCUGUGAUGCGCUCUCGAAGAGUCGAGUUGUUUGGGAAUGCAGCUCAAAACGGGUGGUAAAUUCCAUCUAAAGCUAAAUAUAGGCGAGAGACCGAUAGCGAACAAGUACCGUGAGGGAAAGAUGAAAAGCACUUUGGAAAGAGAGUUAAACAGUACGUGAAAUUGCUGAAAGGGAAACGCUUGAAGUCAGUCGCGUCCGCUAGGACUCAGCCUUGCUUUUUUGCUUGGUGCAAUUCUGGUGGAUGGGCCAGCAUCGAUUUUGACUGUUGAGAAAGUUGAGGGAAUGUGGCACCUUAGGGUGUGUUAUAGCCCUCUAUCGCAUACGACGGUUGGGAUCGAGGAUCGCAGCGCGCCCUUGUGCCGGGGUUUUUGCCCACGUUACGCGCUUAGGAUGCUGGCAUAAUGGCUUUAAGCGACCCGUCUUGAAACACGGACCAAGGAGUCUAACAUGCCUGCGAGUGUUUGGGUGGAAAACCCGAGCGCGCAAUGAAAGUGAUAGUUGAGACCUCUGUCAUGGAGGGCAUCGACGCCCGGACUUGAUCUACGGAGACGGUUCCGCGGUAGAGCAUGUAUGUUGGGACCCGAAAGAUGGUGAACUAUGCCUGAAUAGGGUGAAGCCAGAGGAAACUCUGGUGGAGGCUCGUAGCGAUUCCUCACGUGCGAAUCGAUCGUCGAAUUGGGUAUA